GUUAAGCGACUAAGCGUACACGGUGGAUGCCCUGGCAGUCAGAGGCGAUGAAGGACGUGCUAAUCUGCGAUAAGCGUCGGUAAGGUGAUAUGAACCGUUAUAACCGGCGAUUUCCGAAUGGGGAAACCCAGUGUGUUUCGACACACUAUCAUUAACUGAAUCCAUAGGUUAAUGAGGCGAACCGGGGGAACUGAAACAUCUAAGUACCCCGAGGAAAAGAAAUCAACCGAGAUUCCCCCAGUAGCGGCGAGCGAACGGGGAGCAGCCCAGAGCCUGAAUCAGUGUGUGUGUUAGUGGAAGCGUCUGGAAAGGCGCGCGAUACAGGGUGACAGCCCCGUACACAAAAAUGCACAUGCUGUGAGCUCGAUGAGUAGGGCGGGACACGUGGUAUCCUGUCUGAAUAUGGGGGGACCAUCCUCCAAGGCUAAAUACUCCUGACUGACCGAUAGUGAACCAGUACCGUGAGGGAAAGGCGAAAAGAACCCCGGCGAGGGGAGUGAAAAAGAACCUGAAACCGUGUACGUACAAGCAGUGGGAGCACGCUUAGGCGUGUGACUGCGUACCUUUUGUAUAAUGGGUCAGCGACUUAUAUUCUGUAGCAAGGUUAACCGAAUAGGGGAGCCGAAGGGAAACCGAGUCUUAACUGGGCGUUAAGUUGCAGGGUAUAGACCCGAAACCCGGUGAUCUAGCCAUGGGCAGGUUGAAGGUUGGGUAACACUAACUGGAGGACCGAACCGACUAAUGUUGAAAAAUUAGCGGAUGACUUGUGGCUGGGGGUGAAAGGCCAAUCAAACCGGGAGAUAGCUGGUUCUCCCCGAAAGCUAUUUAGGUAGCGCCUCGUGAAUUCAUCUCCGGGGGUAGAGCACUGUUUCGGCAAGGGGGUCAUCCCGACUUACCAACCCGAUGCAAACUGCGAA
rnacentral:rRNA from 1 species